CCCUCAGAAGUCUAGAACCACAACUGUAAAGGUAGGUGUGCUACACGCACCUCCACGUGUUAAAAAUUAUUUUACGCAUUUUAAAAAAAUAAAAAACCACCCACCCAAACCUUCAUCAUCCCUCACAUUCCACCACCGUAGAUUUCACAGUGCACCACCAUUCACCAACUACUCCUCGCUUUGUUCCUCCUUUACCGCCGCCAUCAAAUUCACAACAUUUUCACCACUACCUACACCAUUAUCACAACCAUCAACUCCACAAUACCCAUCACCGAUAAUAAUAUCACCAGCCGCCGUCAACUGUACAAUACUCAUCACCAACAGUUGUAUCGCCUCCAUCACUGUUAAUUUCAUAUUUCUUAACACCAUCACCAUUGAAAUCAACUCCAAAAUACCACGCCAUCGCUGUCAAUUUCAAAAUACAUCAAUACCCAUCACAAACAUCAAUGAUGUCAACAGAAUUUUGCCGCAAUAAACGUCUGAAAACAAAUUUAUAAAAAAAAUUGAAGAAUAGUGAGAGAAGAAUGAAAUGGUGGCGAAAAUGAAAACGCGUGCAGGUAAUUAGAUCCGCCAC
rnacentral:lncRNA from 1 species